rnacentral:rRNA from 1 species
UACGUAGGGGGCUAGCGUUGUCCGGAUUUAUUGGGCGUAAAGAGCGUGUAGGCGGUUAGGUAGGUCCGUUGUGAAAACUCGAGGCUCAACCUCGAGACGCCGAUGGAAACCAUCUAACUAGAGUCCGGAAGAGGAGAGUGGAAUUCCUGGUGUAGCGGUGAAAUGCGCAGAUAUCAGGAAGAACACCCGUGGCUAAGGCGGCUCUCUAGUACGUGACUGACGCUGAGACGCGAAAGCGUGGGGAGCGAACAGG